rfam:Candidatus Parvarchaeum acidiphilum ARMAN-4 ARM4contig_4782, whole genome shotgun sequence.
AUUUGCUAAUCCAAGCUAUUAGAUGGAUGACUUGGUUCAGGAGCCGAAGAAGGACGCAGCAAGUUGCGAUAAUGAUGCGGUAGGCGCAGACGACCGUUGAUCGCAUCGUUUCUGAAUGCGUGAUGCCUAUGCGUAAGCAUAGAUUCUUUUCUUUACGGAAAGAAAGGGAACGCAGGGAACUAAAACAUUUUAGUACCUGCAGGAAAAGAAAUCAAUAGAGAUUCCCCUAGUAAUGGCGAACGAAAAGGGAAGAGGGCGAACCGAAUCUGCAGCAAUGCAGAAAUGUGGUGUGGUUAAUGGCUGUGCGGAGAAAAACAAACUUGUCUGGAAUGACGGGCCAAAGAGAGUGACAGCCUCGUAGUUUUUUAAUGCACGGUCAUCAUACAGAGUAGCAGAGGUCAAUACUCUUCUGUGAAAAUAGGUGUCAAAAACAUCUAACCCUAAAUACUACCUGAAACCGAUAGCGCAGAGUAGCGUGAGCGAAAGUUGAAAAGCACUCUCGACGAGAGGGUGAAAAGAACCUGAAAUCUAAUAGUUAUAGUUGUUGCGGCACGUUGUGAACCUGUGAAUAAAUAAACAGGCUCAAGUGUUGCAACAUCCUUUUAGCAUAAAGGGGCAGGGAGUUUAUGAGCAUGGCAAGGCUAACGAAAGGAAGCCGGAGCGAAAGCGAGUGCCGCGAGGCACUGGUAGGAAACUGCCAUAAGUCAUGUUUGUAAGACCCGAAGCCGCGCGAUCUAUACCUGGGCAGGCCGAAGUAGGGAUUACUCUCUAUGGAGGGCCGACCUGGUCGGUAACUACAUCGUCAGUUGACCUGGGUAUAGGGGCGAAAAACCAAUCGUGCGCGGCGAUAGCUGGUUCCCAUCGAAAUAUCCCAUAGGAUAGCUUAUACCCGAAUUUUAAAAGAGGUAAAGACACUGAUUGUGUUGGUAGGAGCCGAAAGGCUCCACAACAUUGUCAAACUCAGAAUUCCUUUAAAAAUAGGUAUAAGUUGGGUGUAUGGCGUAAAGUUUUACACCGAGAAGGAAACAACCUAGCCAUGAGUUAAGGCCCUUAAAUGUUUACUAAGUGCAAAAAAGAGGAAUCAUUUCUAAAACAGUUGGGAGGUGGGCUCAGAAGCGGCCAUCCUUCAAAAAGUGUGUUACAACUUACCAACCUAGAUAUGGUAACUCGAAAAUGGACGGGGCUAAGUAAGCUGCCGAAACUCAUGAUUUUGAUAAAAGUUUAUCAAAAAUGGUAGAUGGGCGUACCUGCAGACUAGAAGUCUUUUCGUGAGGGAAGAUGGAUCUGUAAGGUAUUGAGAAUCCUGCCAGGAGUAGCAAAUAAAUGGGUGAGAAUCCCAUCCGCCGCAUGUGCAAGGGUUCCUUGUUUUAAGAUUAUCUAACAAGGGUUAGUCGGUCCUAAGUUUUGCGUCGAAAGGUGCAAGGCAAAUGGGAAUGCGUUUAAUAUUACGCAACCACGGCGGUUUUACCGUUUAUUACGCGUUGAGAUAAGUGGAGUGGUCCAGUCAGAUUAUAUAUAGAUGCGAUGCAUUCGAGAGACGUAAUGUCGAGAAGAUGCAGAAGCGUUUAUAAUGUAGCAAUACAUCCAUUGAUUCCCGGCGCCCAUGAAAAUGUAAACGUUAUGAACCGAAGUGACCGUACCGAAAACUGACACAGGUGCACUGGCUGAGAAGGCUAAGGCGAGGGAUUUAAACAGGGUAAGGGAAAUCGGCAAGUUAGUCCCGUAAGUUCGCAAUAAGGGAUCCCUGAUUUGGUCUUAAAAGCUAAAUCAGGGCGCAGUGACGAAGGGAGUCUAACUGUUUACUAAAAGCAUAGCUGGCUGCUAGAGAGCAAUCUUUUGUACAGCCGGCGACAUCUGCCCAGCAUAGGUAUCCGAAAAUCUGUUUCAACGGGUAUAAGGACCUAUUAGCGGCGGAGGUAACUGUGACCUUCUUAAGCAAGCAUAAUCCAUUGCCAAUUGAUUGUUGGCUUGUGAACGAUGUAAUGAGAUUCCCGCUGUCCCUACCUUGAAACCCGCGAAACCACCGUCCUGGUGCAAAGGCCAGGGACCUCCACUGGGUCAAAAAGACCCCAGGAACUUUACUGCAGUCUCUUGUUGUGGUACUAAGUUGAUAGGCAUAGAGUAGGUAGCAGGCGUUAUGCUCAUUGUUCCGGCAAUGAGAUAGCCGAAAGUGUAACACUACCCUUAUUGACUUAUACCACUUACCUUCGGGAACAGCAGGAGAUGGGCAGUUUUGCUGGGGUGGCAAUCCCACGAAAAGAUAACAUGGGAGCCCAAAGGUCAUCUUAAGUGGCAUAGAAAUCCACUGUUAAGUGCAAUGGCAAAAGAUGGCUUGACUGCGCACUACAAAGCAAAGUGCACAGAGGCGAAAGCCGGGCAUAGCGAACACGAAUGCGUGUUUUUUUGACUCCUUCGUAUGACAGAAAAGCUACCCUGGGCGUAAGAGAGUUGUUGCGGAUGAUAGUUCAUAUUGACUUCGCAGCUUGCUCCACAGUCUUUGGCUCUCCCCAUCCUGGUUGUGCACAAGCAGCCAAGGGUACAGGUGUUCACUGGUUAAAGGGGACCGUGAGCUGAGUUUAGGCCGCCGCGAGGCAGGCCGGUAGUUAACUAGUGGAGGUGGUCGAUGCCUGAAUGGAAGAUUCGACUAGUACGAAAGGAACAGCGAUUCGGCGUCACUAGUUAGCGGUUAUCCGACAGGGUACGCCGCGUAGCCACACGCUAUGGGAUAAGAGCUGAAGGCAUCUAAGCUCGAAACCCUCCGUAAAAAUAGGCAUCGUUGAGGCUGGGGAAGAAGACCCCGUUGAUAGAAUCGGCGUGUAAGGACCAAGGCGAAAGCCGAGAUCUUCAGCGCACGAUUACUAAUCAGCCAAAACUUUGUAAAU